GUUCUGUUCGUCUAGUUUGGUAAGGACACUGGAUUUUCAUUCCAGCAACAGGGGUUCAAAUCCCCUACAGAAUG
rnacentral:tRNA from 1 species